GACAGAGGGUGCAAACGUUGCUCGGAAUCACUGGGCGUAAAGGGCGUGUAGGCGGGAAGGAAAGUCAGAUGUGAAAUCCCUGGGCUCAACCCAGGAACUGCAUUUGAAACUCCCUUUCUUGAGUGUCGGAGAGGAAAGCGGAAAUUCCUGGUGUAGAGGUGAAAUUCGUAGAUAUCAGGAGGAACACCGGUGGCGAAGGCGGCUUUCUGGACGACAACUGACGCUGGAGAACGCGAAAGCGUGGGGAGCAAACAGG
rnacentral:rRNA from 1 species